CUGCAGAGUCCCGGGAACGAUGCAGGAGUCCUGCAGAGUUAUUCGGUCACUGCGGCCCUUCAAAGACCCUGAAGGGAACCAGGGAACUGUGCUUUGGCUCCCUCAGGACGGCGGGACAAGAGCUCCUUUCAUGGGGGAAAAACAGUGGAAACUCUGUGCGAAGGAGUUAAUCACGCGCUGCAUAUGUGUCCUCUUUUGGCGGAGAGCGGAGGGAUAUAGCAGGAUUGGGCCACAAGGCAAUGAAGGAGGGGAUGAAUGGAUAUAUGGAUGCAAGGAUAGGUCAUGUGAUGGGUAAUUGGAACCAGGAGGCAAAGUGGCUUUGUUUUGGAUUCUUCACCCUCUACAUGUGUUGAUCUUACUGUGUACAUACAUGUCAUACAGUCAGGGGUUGAUCUGAAUUAGGACACUUCCACAUAUGCUUUGUUGCCAAUCUAACACUGCUUAAAGGGUGGCAAGAGAAGAAAGUCACUUGUUCUGGGCUGAAAUAUCUCGAGUAUUGUAUGGACUGUAAUGAGAUGUUGAACAAGCAUUACUGAUCCUCUGAGGGUGAGCCCUAAGAAGUUCUGCGAUUCUUAUUAAGUGUCUCCUGGCUUAACUGUGGUUCACACUCAUUUAUUUGAAUGUCUGAAGGUUGACUUUCCUUAUCAAAAGAUUCACCAUGAUAUAUUUUUAGUUUCUUAGUUUUCAACUAGGAUAUCUAUGAGUCAUAUUCUAAAAUAUAUUCAUAUGCAAUAAAUACAUUGACAGCCUAUGGCAUUCCUGGUCCUAAGAUAAUGUACCUUAAGAAGUUUUGAAAUCUCAUAGUCUUCCGACCUGCAUUCCUACAGUGCAAUCUGGAAAGUAUUCAUACCACUUCACGUUUUCCACAUUUUGUUAUGUUACAGCCUUAUUACAAAAUUGAUUAAAUUUCUUUUUUUCCCUCAAAAAUUCUACACAACACAUUUUGUAAAUUUAUUAAGAAUAAGACACUCAAAUGUUGCAUAUACAUAAGUAUUCACACCCUUUGCUAUAAAACUCAAAAUUGAGCUCAGGUUCAUCCUGUUUCCACUGGUCAGCCUUCAAAUGUUCCUCCAACUUGAUUGCAGUCCUCCUGUGGCAAAUUCAGUGGAUUGGACAUGAUUUGGAAAGCCACACCUGUCUAUGUAAGAUCCCACAGCUGACAGAGCAUGUCAGAGCACAAACCAAUCCAUGAAGUUGAAAGAAUUGUCUGUAGACCUCCGAAACAGGGUUGUAUCAGCGCACAGAUCUGGGGAAGGUUACAGAAAAAUAUCUGCUGCAUUGAAAAUCCCAAAAAGCACAGUGGUCUCCAUCAUUAAGAAAUAGAAGACACUUGGAACCACCAGGACUCUUCCUAGAGCUGGCCGCCCAGCCAAAAUGAGCAAGCGGGGGAGAAGGGCCUUGGUCAGGGAGGUGACCAAGAACCUGAUGGUCACUCUGACAGAGCUCCAGCGUUCCUCUGAGGAGAUGGGAGAACCCUACAGAAGGACCACCAUCUCUGCAGCACUCCACCAGUCAGGCAUUUAUGGUAGAGUGGCCAGACAGAAGCCACUCCUCAGUAAAAAGCACAUGACAGCCCACUUGGACUUUGCUACAAGGCACCUGAAGGACUCACAGACCAGGAGAAACAAAAUUCUCUGAUCUGAUGAAACGAAGAUCGAACUCUUUGGCCUGAAUGCCAAGUGUCAUGGUUGGAGGAAACCCGGCACCGCUUACCACCUCGCCAAUACCAUCCCUACAGUGAAGCAUGGUGGUGGCAGCAUCAUGCUGUGGGGAUGUUUUUCAGCGGCAGGAACUGGGAGACUUGUCAGAAUCGAGGGAAAAAUGAAUGCAGCUAAGUACAUCGAAAUCCUUGAUGAAAACCUGCUCCAGAGCGCUCGAGACCUUAGACUGGGGCGACACUUCAUCUUCCAGCAUGACAAUGACCCUAAGCACAUGGCCAAGAAGACAAAGGAGUGGCUUCAGGACAAGUCUCUGAGUGUCCUUGGCCAGCCAGUGGCCCAGCCAGAGCCCAGACUUGAACCUGGUUGAACAUCUUUGGAAAGACCUGAAAGUAUCUAUGCACCGACACUGCCCAUCCAACCUCACUGAGCUUGAGAGGACGUGCAAGGAAGAAACUCCCCAAAUCCGGGUGUGCCAAGCUUGUUGCAUCAUACACAAGAAGACUGGAGGCUGUAAUCGCUGCCAAAGGUGCUUCGACCAAGUAUUGAGUAAAGGGUGUGAAUACUUAUGUAUAUGCAACAUUUAAGAGUUCUUAUUUUUAAUAAAUUUGCAAAAUGUUCUAAAAAAAAGUUUUGGACUUUGUCAUUAUGGGUUAUUUUGUGUAGAAUUUUUGAGGGAAAAGGGGAAUUUAAUCCAUUUUGGACUAAGGCUGUAACAUAACAAAAUGUAGAAAAAGUGAAGUGGUAUGAAUACUUUCUGGAUGCACUGUAUAAACCACAUUUUCAAAAUAUGUAAAUAUAGCAGUACCUCUUUUGAUGUGAUUGAGCCCAGGAGGAUAAACUCUGAUGGCCUAUGUAAUCCCCUAACCUUCUAAACAAAAUUUUUGAAUAUAUAUAUAUAUAUAUAUAUAUAUAUAUAUAUAUAAAUCAUUAAAGAUUCUAAGAUACCAGGUCCCCAGAGGAUAAACCACACAAAGUUUUUUCUUUAAUCUUCUAUCAACUGGCAUACGCAACUACCACACAUUUAAAACUUUUUGUAAGAUUAUGUUUAAAUCUAAUGACAUUCCAAGUCCCAAGAGGGUAAACCAUGAUAAAUUAUGCAAUCUAGUCAUAUGACAUUCCCACACUUCAUUAUCAAUGAACCAUAUAUGGAAAACUUUAUAUCUAAAUAUCUUCUAUCUUUGACUUUCAUUUCUUUUCCCAGGAGGAUAAAUCAUGAUAACAUUUAGCGUAUCUUUGAACCACAUUUCCAAAAAUAUGUAUCAAUAUCUGUUCUUCUACUGGCAUUCAUAGUUCUAAGGGGCUAAACCAAGAUAAGGUUGACUUUUGCACUUGUGUAUGCAUGAACCACAUUUCAAAGACUUUAGUGUUUCCUGGCCGUUGUUAGCAGUCCUGGUCACCAGAGGAAACACCUCAAAGCCCUCCGGUGUAUGCUCAUUGUCAUUUUCAGCCUUGUAGCUUGUUGAUGUUGGCCCGACGGACCGAUGUUGAAAGCCCUGAGAGUAAAUAGAUUAGUCCUAUUGUAAAGAGUUAUUAAACUUGAUCUGUUAAAGCUUCAUACUCAUUAAGCUCAGUCUAAAAAGCUUCAAUGUCUCCAAAUCAAUCAUCCUUAAAACUCCCCUUGAGUGUCUGUCAGCCAACCCCCACACUGGAAUCUCCUCCUCUAAAGUCAUUUUUCAUGUGACAAUGGCUUAAAGUCUGAUUCAUUGCCAGAGUGGAGAGGAAUGUUGACACAACUGCCUCCAUCUGCCUGUCCUCAACUCACAGAUGGAGAAGAUUCUCAGCUGAGCGCACCAACACAUGUUCCCCGGCUUUUCAUCCUUGACAUGUUGUGGGAGAGUCGCAGCUUGGAUGUGUGAAUUGCAUGUUACUGUGGUGCUGCACUUCAGGAUAAGCUGACUGAGCAUGUGUCGGACUUGUGAUGGAUUUUUGUUCCUGCUGCUUUUGAAUGGGUUUAAAUGGGAGAGGCCUGUGUAUGAUUAUGGAAUUGGCCUUCUCAUAUUCUCUCUGCAGUCAGCUCGGAGUAAUAUUUUGCUUGUUUUAUUGACUUGGUGUUGAAGGUUGACGUGUGAAACAUAAAUUCGUUUUGGCGCUGCAACACAAGAGAACACAAAGGAGUGACUAUACAGGAUGGCGUACAGCGUGGUCAAAGAGUCAGGGUUCGGAGUGUGGGAAGGGGGUUCAGUGACAUGUCUGCUGCCAGUGUAAACAUGACUUGGAGCUGGUGCGUUAUCAGUGUGCCAAGUCUAUAGAAACAGCGAAGCUCUAAAACUCGGGCCUUAUGAGUCAGCCAAGAGCCCUGGACUCAGAAAACCUAUUCCAGUCCCUGGGUUACCACAGCAACGGGAACAGAUUGGAGCCACAUCUGGUAGCCAUUUCAGUCCCUGCAAGCAGAGGAAGAAAGAAAUUUAUGAGUGAGGGGGAAAAAGACAAAUAUUUUCUGCAAUGCAAAGCAGAAAGACAGCGGGGUCAAGUUUCACUUUUAAAAAGGGGGUCGAAAAUAUUAAUCCACUGUGGACACGGCGGAAAGUGGUUUCCGGUGCUCGUGUAAAAGGAGGGAAACAGUGUAAGCUUUAGUUUGUUUUGAGUUUCAAUCUUGUAAAAGUCACUAUGCAGAAAGCAACUUCUGUCAGCAAGUUUUCAAACAUACACUGAAGGAAUAAACACACUUUCUUACGCUCGUGCAAAGGCUCUUUUUCAUUUUGGAAACCUGAAGUUAAAGUGCAUAUAGUGUAUAUAAGAACAUCACAAGCUUCUACUCGAAAAAUGCCAAUGCAACUGAGAUAACAGGUUUUGACAUUUACAAGUGAAAGUAGCUUUUUGCUGCAGGGUCUGACAGAAAUGUGUCUGUGUUGCAGCACAAUUUCCUAAAGUGCAGUCAUUUCCCCUGGCUGCUUCGUUGCGUCAGAUGCGACCAGAGGAGAUUUGCAAAUUCUGUUUUCGUCUCCCGUCCCUGUCGACUGGCUGUCUGCGAGAGACACUGUCUAAUUGCAGUCCUCCUUACACGUUAAAUGUUGUUUCUCAGCCCUGUGGAAAUGCAGUAACUAUGAAAUGACAUUUACUGGAAAUGGAGCUGGUGCUUUUCUCGAGCCAAAACCGCUGAGAACUGAGGUCAGUGCGCAACCAGGAGGAGGGAGGAGAAACAGCGCCAGCAUCAAAUGUGUGUUUAUAGAUUUCCAGUGACAUCUACUCACUCUGCGAUUUAAGACCGUCAUUAUAAAAGACCCAAAACUCCCCUACAGUGGCGAGGAGCUCAGAAAAAACAGCUCUUAAUGCACAAAUUAAGAGCAACCGCACAACAAGCCGACCUCCCAAAGAGAUGCUUAGUCAGACGGGCUGGUAAAGAGACGAAACUAGGUCAAAAGAGCGGAAACUGCAGUUCAGGAUGAAACCACUUAUUACGAUUGUGAUUAAAGGGACAUUUAAGGAUUUUUCUUUUUGAGUGAGGUUGUAUCAGUUACAUGCAUAGACUGUACAUACUAUGGACAACUUGGUUCCGCCUCCUGUCUGUAUACGAAUUUAAAGACAAAAAACUCUCGGUAUUUCCGGGAUUUUUCUUCAUUUCCUGAAACCAGCGCUGCGCAGUAGCGUUGUGCGCAUUCGGCAGGAGAGUUGCUGUGAUGACGCUCGGCUCAAACAGCAUAUCCACCGGGUGAGCUACGCAAUCCCUGAAUGCCAAU